AAAAAAAAUCUGAAUUAUCAUUCAUCAGGGUUCAAGGGGAACUAAAUGAAGCCACCACCACCAUCAUCAUAUCAAUAUCAUCAUCAUAUGAUUUUAAAGUCAUUAUAUUCAAAACGUGUAUGAGGAACAGAGCCGACUCCUGAUGAGCACAAGGGGAGAAACGGAGAUCCUGCGUCUGGGUUGGCUGCCAGGACCUGUAGGACACCAGGGCGGGGCAGGCUUUGCUGGUCGCUGCCCUGCUCUGUGGGUGGGGGACUCACAGCUUCUGCGGCAGCGGUCCCCAUCUCUGGAGCGCGUCAGCCUGGGCCAGAAGGUGGCGCCACAGAGCCUGAGGGUGCACCGCAGGAGGGCUCCGGGAGGAGUCCAGGGUGCAUCCGAACAGCCCUGGGCAAGCCCUCCCAUUCCUCCAGCUGCCUGACCCAGGCCUGGGCAGGCAAGCCUGACAUGCACCACUCCCCAACCCGGACAGUCUCUUGAGACUUUCGGACACCACCAGAGAGAUGCCAGCCCUGUUGCACUGGCCCUCGCCCGCUGCACCCGGGGAUCUCCCAGAGUUGGGAGGCGCUGACCAGGCCAUCGCAGACUGGCUUCAGACCUUAGUUGUCUCAUCUGUAGAAGAAAGUGAUCUGGCCAUCCUUUCCCCCCAGUUCCCCAUACUGGUGGAGUGAUCCAGCACAUGCAGAGCUCAUCACAAUCAUUAAAAAUAACACAAGUGAACUUCCGACCCCUAACAUUGCCCUGAAUCGCCACAGUUCUUUGUCAAGAUUUACUUCCUCCAAGAAGUUUCUAGAUCCACCCCAUUCUUCUCUGUGUACCUCCCUGUUAACAUCUUGUGUCGGGGUGGGAAGUGUAGCCCCAGCUAGCAGCUAGACUCCAGGAGCAGGUCAGGAGUCUUAGAGCAAAUGAGUUAAUCAUUAGUCCUGCCUCAAAUAGUGAUUUAGCUAUUUGAAGACCCUCGCCUGAUCUCAGCCCCAGAAACUCUUCCUCCUAUAACAGGAUUUAGGGGGUAAGAACCAAAAGGCAAGAAUGUGUUUGCUCAAAAGGGCCUCAUUGCUAAGACAAACAAUUCAGACCAGAGAUGCAUGUGCAGACCUAGGGAAGCAGGAGGAUUAAGACUGGAGCCUUCUACCAUGAAUUCUACAAAACCAGUUCCAAUUAGGACUCAUCAGCCAAGACAAAAGAGUUGCCCUCAUGUCGUUAGCUAAAGUAUCUGUCCAUUCAGAACCUAGAGGUGAUACUUGGGCAGGACCUUCUAACAGUCUCCCCACUUCUUCAGUAAAAACUGGGACACAGGAGCUGGGGUUGUGGCUCAACGGAAGAGUGCUUGCCUAGCACAUGAGAGGCAAUGGGCUCCAUCCUCAGCACCACAUAAAAAUAAAAAAUAAAGGUUUAAAAAAAAAU
rnacentral:lncRNA from 1 species